UACGAAGGGGGGCUAGCGUUGCUCGGAAUCACUGGGCGUAAAGCGCACGUAGGCGGAUCGUUAAGUCAGGGGUGAAAUCCUGGAGCUCAACUCCAGAACUGCCUUUGAUACUGGCGAUCUUGAGUUCGGGAGAGGUGAGUGGAACUGCGAGUGUAGAGGUGAAAUUCGUAGAUAUUCGCAAGAACACCAGUGGCGAAGGCGGCUCACUGGCCCGAUACUGACGCUGAGGUGCGAAAGCGUGGGGAGCAAAGCGGGAUUAAGAAACCCC
rnacentral:rRNA from 1 species